CCAGACUCCUACGGGAGGCAGCAGUUAGGAAUAUUCGUCAAUGGGGGAAACCCUGAACGAGCAAUGCCGCGUGAGUGAUGAAGGCCCUAUGGGUUGUAAAACCCUUUUGUUGAGAAAGAAUUGUAAGAUUAGGAAAUGAGUCUUACUUGACGGUACUCUUCAAGAAAGCCACGGCUAACUACGUGCCAGCAGCCGCGGUAAUACGUAGGUGGCGAGCGUUAUCCGGAUUUAUUGGGCGUAAAGCGUGCGCAGGCGGUUUUUUAAGUUAGUGGUUAAACGUCGGGGCUUCACCUUGAUUUGCCAUUAAUACUGUAAGACUCGAGUUCAGACGAGGUAGGCGGAAUAAGUUAAGUAGCGGUGAAAUGCUUAGAUAUAACUUAGAACUCCGAUAGCGAAGGCAGCUUACCAGACUGCGACUGACGCUGAAGCACGAGAGCGUGGGUAGCGAACAGGAUUAGAUACCCGCGUA
rnacentral:rRNA from 1 species